CGCUGCCCGCGACGUUGUGAGAAGUCCACUGAACCUUAUCAUUUAGAGGAAGGAGAAGUCGUAACAAGGUUUCCGUAGGUGAACCUGCGGAAGGAUCAUUG
rnacentral:rRNA from 1 species